AAACUGAAGAGUUUGAUCAUGGCUCAGAUUGAACGCUGGCGGCAGGCCUAACACAUGCAAGUCGAGCGGUAACAGGUCC
rnacentral:rRNA from 1 species